AUUGAACGCUGGCGGCAGGCCUAACACAUGCAAGUCGAGCGAGGGGCGGACGGGUGAGUAAGGUUUGGGAAACUGCUGGAUGGAGGGGGAUAACUACUGGAAACGGUAGCUAAUACCGCAUACCAUAAGAUGUGUCCAGAUGGGAUUAGCUAGUAGGUGGGGUAACGGCUCACCUAGGCGACGAUCCCUAGCUGGGCUGAGAGGAUGACCAGCCACACUGGAACUGAGACACGGUCCAGACUCCUACGGGAGGCAGCAGUGGGGAAUCUUGCGCAAUGGGCGCAAGCCUGAUGCAGCCAUGCCGCGUGUGUGAAGAAGGCCUUCGGUUUGUAAAGCACUUUCGGCGGGGAGGCGUUACCCGCAGAAGAAGCACCGGCUAACUCCGUGCCAGCCGCCGCGGUAAUAC
rnacentral:rRNA from 1 species